rnacentral:rRNA from 1 species
GAUGAACGCUGGCGGCGUGCCUAAUACAUGCAAGUCGAGCGAACGGACGGGAAGCUUUCCUUCUUGAUGUUAGCGGCGCGCGCGGGUGUAAAAUAUGGCUAAACUUACCAAAUGAUGGGGAUAAACUAGGCAAAACGGUACUUAAUCCCGAAAAUUCUUUGAAGCGUAUAGUUUAAGACUUACAGGCGGUCCUGCUGUCACUUGUCGGUGAUCCGGCGCUCCAGUGGGUUGUUGGUAGGGUAACGGCUUACCAAGGCAACGACGAAUAGCCGACCUGGGAGGAUGAUCGGCCACACUGGAACUGAGACACGGCCCAGACUCCUACGGGAGGCAGCAGUGGGGAAUUUUGGGCAAUGGGCGAAAGCCUGACGGAGAAACGCCGGGUGGGUGAAGAAGGUCUUCGGGUCGUAAAAGCCUUUUAUUAGGGAAGAAAAGAUGGUUGAGAAAAUGUGCACAUGUUGACGGUACCUGAACAGAAAGCCACGGCUAACUACGUG